UCCCUGUUAGUAUAUCGGUUAGUACACGCGCCUGUCAUUUGUACAGUUCCGCGCGAGAGCGGAGUUCGAUUCUCCGACAGGGAG